rnacentral:rRNA from 1 species
UACAGAGGUCCCAAGCGUUGUUCGGAUUCACUGGGCGUAAAGGGUGCGUAGGUGGUGGGGUAAGUUGGAUGUGAAAGCUCCGAGCUUAACUCGGAAAUGGCAUUCAAAACUACCUUGCUAGAGGGUUGGAAGGGGGACUGGAAUUCUCGGUGUAGCAGUGAAAUGCGUAGAUAUCAGGAGGAACACCGGUGGUGUAGACGGCUUUCUGGACCGUAACUGACGCUGAGACACGAAAGCGUGGGUAGCAAACAGG